GCCAUGCGAGUCAUUGUAGCAAUACAAGGCAGACGGCUCAGUAACGCGUAGUCAAUCUACCCUAUGGACGGGAAUAACCUCGGGAAACUGAGAAUAAUGCCCGACAGAACAUUAUACCUGGAACGGUUUAUGUUUCAAAUGAUUUAUCGCCGUAGGAUGGGACUGCGGCCUAUCAGUUUGUUGGUGAGGUAAUGGCCCACCAAGACUAUUACAGGUACGGGCUCUGAGAGGAGUAGCCCGGAGAUGGGUACUGAGACACGGACCCAGGCCCUAUGGGGCGCAGCAGGCGAGAAAACUUUGCAAUGUGCGAAAGCACGACAAGGUUAAUCCGAGUGGUUUCUGCUAAAGAAACCUUUUGCUAGUCCUAGAAACACUAGUGAAUAAGGGGUGGGCAAGUUCUGGUGUCAGCCGCCGCGGUAAAACCAGCACCUCAAGUGGUCAGGAUGAUUAUUGGGCCUAAAGCAUCCGUAGCUCGUUUUGUAAGUUUUCGGUUAAAUCCAUACGCUUAACGUAUGGGCUGCCGGGAAUACUGCAUAACUAGGAAGUGGGAGAGGUAGACGGUACUCGGUAGGAAGGGGUAAAAUCCUUUGAUCUAUUGAUGACCACCUGUGGCGAAGGCGGUCUACCAGAACACGUUCGACGGUGAGGGAUGAAAGCUGGGGGAGCAAACCGGAUUAGAUACCCGGGUAGUCCCAGCUGUAAACUAUGCAAACUCAGUGAUGCAUUGGCUUGUGGCCAAUGCAGUGCUGCAGGAAGCCGUUAAGUUUGCCGCCUGGGAAGUACGUACGCAAGUAUGAAACUUAA
rnacentral:rRNA from 1 species